rnacentral:rRNA from 1 species
UACGUAGGGGGCAAGCGUUGGUCCGGAAUCAUUGGGCGUAAAGCGCGUGUAGGCGGCCCGGUAAGUCCGCUGGGAAAGUCGGGGGCUCAACCCUCGAAUGCCGGUGGAUACUGUCGGGCUAGAGUGCGGAAGAGGCGAGUGGAAUUCCUGGUGAUAGCGGUGAAAUGCGCAGAUAUCAGGAGGAACACCAAUUGCGAAGGCAGCUCGCUGGGACGUUACUGACGCUGGAGACGCGAAAGCGUGGGGAGCAAACAGG